UACGUAGGGUGCAAGCGUUGUCCGGAAUUAUUGGGCGUAAAGAGCUCGUAGGCGGUCUGUCGCGUCUGCUGUGAAAACUCAGGGCUUAACCCUGAGCUUGCAGUGGGUACGGGCAGACUAGAGUGCGGUAGGGGAGACUGGAAUUCCUGGUGUAGCGGUGAAAUGCGCAGAUAUCAGGAGGAACACCGGUGGCGAAGGCGGGUCUCUGGGCCGUAACUGACGCUGGAGGAGCGAAAGCAUGGGGAG
rnacentral:rRNA from 1 species